rnacentral:rRNA from 1 species
AUUGAACGCUGGCGGCAGGCUUAACACAUGCAAGUCGAACGAGUGGCGGACGGGUGAGUAAUGCAUGGGAACAUACUUCAUGGAGGGGGAUAACUACGGGAAACUGUAGCAAAUACCGCGUACCCUAGGAUGAGCCCAAGUGGGUUUAGGUAGUUGGUGAGGUAAAGGAUCACCAAGCCGACGAUCUCUAGCUGGGCUUUGAGGAUGACCAGCCACACGGGAACUGAGACAAGGCCCAGACUCCUACGGGAGGCAGCAGUGGGGAAUGUUGCAGUAGGGGGGCAACCUGGCUCAGACAUGCCGCGUGAAGGAAGAAGGGCUGCGGGUUGUAAAGUUCUUGCGGUAGCGAGGCGUUAACAACAGAAGAAGCACCGGCUAACUCCGUGCCAGCAGCCGCGGUAAUAC